AACGAACGCUGGCGGCAGGCUUAACACAUGCAAGUCGAACGGUUGCAGCAAUGCAGCAGUGGCAGACGGGUGAGUAACACGUGGGAACCUUCCUAGGGGUACGGAACAACUCAGGGAAACUUGAGCUAAUACCGUAUACGUCCGUGAGGAGAAAGAUUUAUCGCCCUUAGACGGGCCCGCGUCGGAUUAGCUAGUUGGUGGGGUAACGGCCUACCAAGGCGACGAUCCGUAGCUGAUCUCAGAGGAUGAUCAGCCACACGGGGACUGAGACACCGCCCAGACUCCUACGUGAGGCAGCAGUGGGGAAUUUUGGACAAUGGGCGCAAGCCUGAUCCAGCCAUGCCGCGUGAGUGAAGAAGGUCUUCGGAUUGUAAAGCUCUUUUGCCAGGGACGAUAAUGACGGUACCUGGAGAAUAAGCCCCGGCAAACUUCGUGCCAGCCGCCGCCGUAA
rnacentral:rRNA from 1 species